CACGAAGUUAGCCGGGGCUUCUUCUACGGGUACCGUCAUUAUCGUCCCCGUCGAAAGAGCUUUACAACCCUAGGGCCUUCAUCACUCACGCGGCAUGGUUGGAUCAGGGUUGCCCCCAUUGUCCAAUAUUCCCCACUGCUGCCUCCCGUAGGAGUCUGGGCCGUGUCUCAGUCCCAGUGUGGCUGAUCAUCCUCUCAGACCAGCUACCGAUCGUCGCCUUGGUGAGCCAUUACCUCACCAACUAGCUAAUCGGACGCGGGCCAAUCCUUCGGCGAUAAAUCUUUCCCCCUUACGGGGCUUAUCCGGUAUUAGCUCAAGUUUCCCUGAGUUAUUCCGAACCAAAGGGCAUGUUCCCACGCGUUACUCACCCGUCUGCCACUCCCGUAUUGCUACGAGCGUUCGACUUGCAUGUGUUAAGCCUGCCGCCAGCGUUCGCUCUGAGCCAGGAUCAAACUCU
rnacentral:rRNA from 1 species